rnacentral:rRNA from 1 species
UACGUAGGGUGCGAGCGUUGUCCGGAAUUACUGGGCGUAAAGAGCUCGUAGGUGGUUUGUCGCGUUGUUCGUGAAAACUCACAGCUUAACUGUGGGCGUGCGGGCGAUACGGGCAGACUGGAGUACUGCAGGGGAGACUGGAAUUCCUGGUGUAGCGGUGGAAUGCGCAGAUAUCAGGAGGAACAUCAGUGGCGAAGGCGGCUUCCUGGACCAAUACUGACGAUCAGGUGCGAAAGCGUGGGGAGCAAACAGG